AGUGAACGCUGGCGGUAGGCCUAACACAUGCAAGUCGAACGGCAGCACAGUGAGAGCUUGCUCUUACGGGUGGCGAGUGGCGGACGGGUGAGGAAUACAUCGGAAUCUACUUUUUCGUGGGGGAUAACGUAGGGAAACUUACGCUAAUACCGCAUACGACCUACGGGUGAAAGCAGGGGAUCUUCGGACCUUGCGCGAUUGAAUGAGCCGAUGUCGGAUUAGCUAGUUGGCGGGGUAAAGGCCCACCAAGGCGACGAUCCGUAGCUGGUCUGAGAGGAUGAUCAGCCACACUGGAACUGAGACACGGUCCAGACUCCUACGGGAGGCAGCAGUGGGGAAUAUUGGACAAUGGGCGCAAGCCUGAUCCAGCCAUACCGCGUGGGUGAAGAAGGCCUUCGGGCUGUAAAGCCCUUUUGUUGGGAAAGAAAAGCAGCAGGUUAAUACCCCGCUGUUCUGACGGUACCCAAAGAAUAAGCACCGGCUAACUUCGU
rnacentral:rRNA from 1 species